ACACUUAAAAAAAUUUAGGAUUAUUUGAUUUUUAUGUAACACUUUUGUAACAUUGUCGUAUUAAGUAACAUUUUUUGUAACACUUUAGUAUUAUGUAACACUUUAUGGUAACACUUUGAUAUUAGGUAUCACUUAGUUGCAACACUUAAUUUGAUGUUACUCGAAUCCUUUUUUUUCUAAUUAAAUAUUUAUUUUCUUCUAAUCUCAUUGCAGAAAAAAUUGAUCGGUGCCUUUUAUUUUAAUUUUUUUAUUUUUCAUUCUAGUCUAUCCCCUCCUCUCAUUCUUGUUCAAAUAUCUAUUCUCUCUGAAUUAGUUUAUAUUCUUUAAUCCAUCGAGUCACCCUCAUUACUAUCCUCUGAAUCAUCAUCAUCAUCAUCAGUACCAUCAUCUAAAUCACAAUCAACAUCAUCAAAUGAAUCGAGAGUGAAGGAAUCACAACAUAUGGUACUACUAUGGUGUUCAUUACUUAAUGAUUACAUUAAGGUUUAUGUUCAUCUGCAUAAUUUCUCUCACCUAUACGUUCGGCUUCUUCGCUUUACUCUUCUCCAGUCUUUCAAUUCCUCCUAUUUCUGUUCCUUCUCAAUGAAAAAUCGUUUCCACCAAAGGGAGGAAAUGUACCAGAAGCACAAGUGUCUCAUCAUAAAGACAGGAAGGGACAUCCAAACCAUUAACGAAUAAAACUAGCAAAGCUGAAAGGCGCACUUUACAAGAGGUCACAAAGGUGCCAAAUCUACAUAAAAGGUGCUGAGGUUCUCUUUUUGUCCUCAAGGUACUCGAAUUUUCAGUCAGGUGCUCUUUCUUUGUUCCUGUCUCUAUCAUUUUUUCUUUUUUGGCUAAUAUUGAAAUCAAUGUAGAAAAUACAAUAAUGCCUUGGAAUCUUAGGGUGGUUGGCUUUUAUGUCCUAGUUUUGAAUCUUAUUUGUACCCUUUCUACUAUGAUUCUACCAUGAUAAUUCUGUUUUAAUAUCUAUUAUGCAAAUUUUCAUGUAAAAAUCUGCCUAUUGUGUAUAUAACUCAAGACUCUCAGCCUAUUUCCCACCACUGUCACCAUUUCUUCCCCUCUCAACAUUCAGUCUUCUAUAUUGAGCUACAAGAAUAAUGGAAUUCAGAACUGAAAUCAGAACUGAAUUCAUAGAUGAAUUUUAGAACUAAAAUCCAAACCUAAAAUCAGAUAUAAGAUUUAGAACUGAAUUCAGAGCUGAAUUUCAGAACUAAAAUCAAAGCUGGAAUUCAGAACUAAAUUUAGAGUUGAAUUUAGAGUUGAAAUUCAAAACUUAAUUCAAAACUAAAUCAGUGCUGAAAUUCAAAACUAAAAUCAAAGCUGAAAUUCAGACAUGAAAUCAGAGUUUAAAUUCAUGACUGAAUUCAGAGCUGAAUUCGGAACUGAAAUCUGCAAAGGGGAGUUUGUGUGUCGUAUCAGCUUAAUUUAUUAUAUGUGUAGUGAGAAUAAUGAUAUCUUUUACUUAGAUGCAUAUAUUAAAUACUCUGAUAGGUGUCUGACACUACAAAAACCUGUUUAUCAUCAAUGAUGUCCGCGGACUAACUAUCUUGUAUGUUCUUUGUAAGAAGCAAGAUCAAGAUGGUAGAUUAUGAGAAAUCUAGACAAACAAGGAUAGUACAAAAUAGAAGCAACCGGUGAUAUGUUCACUAAAGGGAAAGAGCAACAAACCAACAAUUCUCGAUGAGUUCUUAAAUCCAUAUAAAGACUAAAUUGUGAAAGAAGCUGUAGCAGAAUUAAUGAAGAAACUCAAGCAAAUUGAUCCGGAAGUGUUGGAUACUUUGACUCUAUUACUUGAAAAUGCGUCAUCCAAUCUAGAACUUACAGAUCAAAUUCCCAUUGUACACUAUUGAAUAACAACGAAACGAGGAUCAAUUGGAUCAAGAUGAAGAAUUGGGAUAGCAAUUUAUGAUGCUACAAGAACUUACUUUUACCGAUGUUUUGUUGCUGCUACCACUAUUUUGCUGUUGUUUUUAGCUAUUUUGCUGUUGUUUUUAGCUAUUUUGCUGUUGUCUUUUGCUGACACUACUGCUACUAUUGUCUGAUCUGUUGCUGACUCUUGCUCAUUUGGUUUGCUGGCAUUGCUAUGCUACUGCUAGUUGCUGCCAACUGAUGUUUGCUACUGCUAGAAGCUUCCACUACUAUCUUCUAUUGUUGGUUGCUGCUAAAGACUACUGAUGGCAGCAUCUAUUACUGCUUCUUCCGUUCUACUAGCUAGUUGUCUAGCUACUGUUUUACUCUAUUAUUAUUAAUGCUCUUUACUGUAAUUGGUGUCUUUUUUUGAAAUUUGGAAGAUUUUUGUUUUUCCUUACUAUUUCCAAGAUAGAUAUCGAAUGUUAAUAUUCUUUGUGUUUGGAUUAUUAUAUUUUUUGGCCAAAAACAUUAAAAUUGGUGUUUAUAGAUUUUUUUCGUGAGAAUUAUGAAAAAAUUUCAAUCCAAGCUGUUUUCUAUCAUAUGUGUUGAUUUCUUAUUCAUAUAGUUGUUGUACAUAUGAUUUUUUUUUCUUAUAUUUGUUGGAGGGAACGACGAGGCCCUCAGACCUGCUGAUGUGUUACUUUAUUCUUGGGAUCGUGGUCGCUAUGUCUGUGUAGAUUUGACAGGAUCUUCUCCUUUG